CAGGCCUAGGUUGUAGGGACUUGCAGUCUUGGGGCCACUGCUGGCGCAGCCUUGACUGGUCGCGUGGGCGUCUCUAGGAGGACGUAGAUUUGCGCCAAAGUCGAGGAGGGCGCCCAAAGCCGGGGGGCAGAGCGGGAUGCUGGUGAAACAAAGAUCAAAGGGCAGCCCUGUGCAGGACUGGAGAAGCCUGCAGCCACAGCACAGGGAGGAGCAAACAUCCCGUCAGGAGGCUCCUGGUGUCUACUGAGCACCUGUUGCAUGUCUGACACAGAAUUUGCUCCGUUGCAAAUUGAUCACUGUGUAAGAUGUGUUACCCGGAUUCUACAGAGGAGGAAGCUGGAGCUCAGGGAGGAGAAGGCGCCUUGGAUAGUAGUGGCAUUCAAACUUGAGUGGAAUCACGCCCUGUACCAAAGCCCCUUUCCUUCACCUAGCUGCAUCUAGGAUGGAGGAAAUCCUGGAAGACUUCUUAGAGGAGGUGAAAUGCACACUGAUCCUUGAGGAAGGGUGCCAAGAAAUCCAUCCCACAGAGAAGAGGAGGAAAGACAAGAAAAGAUAAUUGUGGCAGAGGAACAGUGUCAAUAAAGGCCAGGAGGUUUGUAAGUGGGAAAAGGAGGAGAGCUGGGCUGUGGAUGGAGCAGAAAAUGGAGAUGGGAGUCCUCCCAUCUGUCAAAGGCCCUGAAUGCCAGAUAAAGAAAACCAAGCCUCUGAGAGGUGACGCGGUCGGCCCGGUCCCACAGCCAUUGGAGGUCCGGCAGAAUUUGAACCCACGUCUUCUUGACUCUCAAGGCCAGGCUCUGAACAACCGUGUUAGUCACCCCAUGGGGAGGCCUCUGCUCUCGACCCCAGCCGCCAGCCUGACUCAGCAACUGUGGGUGGCCUCGCUCCUGUGCCUGGGCAGCAGAGCCAGCAAGAAGUCUCCCACUUCCUUGAAAACCAAAUAUGGCCAGACCAAGCCCUUGGAGGCCUGACCCCCAGGCUGGGCCUGCUCCCGCCUGCUCCCCUGUGCCGUGGGGCCCUCCUCCCUGCACAACUGCCCGGCUCUGCCCCAGAGGACUCUGGGAGAGCCUCCAUCCAAAUCCCCCUCCUCAUAGGAUCUUGUUGAACAGGUUACUGAAAGGGCAUGUGAGACCAGUGUCUCAUCCAUGUCUCAGGAAUUCCUAACUCCAAGCCUUUGUGGUGCUGUCCCUUCCACCUGGAGCACCUCUCCCUCUCUACCCAGCUCUUAUGCCUUCUUUGGUGUCUAAUGUGAGUUCUCAGGAAGGGUUACUUCCUGACUGUGUGACCUGGAGUAAAUCUCUCAUCCUGUCCAUCCAUCCAUCUGUGUAACUGUCCAUCCAUCCAUCUAUGUAACCAUCCAUCUAUCCAUCCUUCCAUCCAGUGGGCACUUACCUGUGCCAGGCAUUUUAUAUAUAGUCUCUCCUUCCAGACUGGACGCUCCCUUGAAGAUUGCAGAUCAGGUGUAGAAGGUAAUUGUUCCACUACUAUCCAUGGGCCAAGUCUUGUCCUUACUACAGUCCUGGUGAGGCUCUCAUCCUAUCACCCCUUUCCACAGUUGGGAAGACUGAUACUCAGACGGGGAAAGUCCAAAGGACACAGCACAGAUGAGUGGAGCAGAGACUUGAACCCUGAUCUGUUGGACUCUGGAGGCCAAGUUCCUAACCACUAGGCAGUACUCCCUAACUCCUCUUGGAGGGAGGGGACCAUUGCAGUAAGUGUCAGGUCCUGGGGGAGGGCUGGGGCCACUUCACCUUCCGUUCUUGGUUUCCAAGUAGUCCCCUUAACCUUUCGACUUCUGAGGCAGCUGUACCUCACUGACCUUCCCUUCUCCAGUCCCUCUGUGACCAGAGCUGGUCUGACACUUGCCAGCGUGGCUGGGAGAGGAUUAUUUUUUUCCUUUGCCCCCCCUCCCCCACCGGACUGAGACUUUGAGAAUACCUGUCCCAUCUCAGAGCCUAUAAAGUCCUUUUCAAAGUCA